CAUGUUGGAGAUUCCUCACAGACUGCCUGUGUUUGUAAAUUGUGAUUUGUUGUGGUCAGGGCAUGACGAGGAUACUACUGACAUUGAUCCCACACUUCCGGGAGGUUGUUCUGACGGCCUUCGAGUGACUACAUAGCAGUGAAAGGGACGGUGGCAUGAAGCAGUUGAGUAGGUGUGCGUGGAUACACACUAUUCAUCGCAUUUGUCAUCGAGCGAUUGCACCACUAUCUUCAGAAGCUCAUCACCCUGAGGAAAUCAGCCAACACCUCCCAGCGAGGAGCUUGAAAUUUUCCAAAUGGAGUUCAAACGUGAAUUUGAGAAAAUGAU